rnacentral:tRNA from 1 species
GGGGUCGUGGCCUAGUCCGGAAUGGCGACGGGCUCCAGCGGUCUUGUGCGUGUGAUGAACAAUGGGUCUGCUGAAUUGGUGAUGACCCGUUGGAGCUCUGACGCAUAUCGGAGAGACCCGUCGAUCGUGAGUUCAAAUCUCACCGACCCCA